rnacentral:misc_RNA from 1 species
GCAAACUUGGUCAUUUAGAGGAAGUAAAAGUCGUAACAAGGUCUCCGUUGGUGAACCAGCGGAGGGAUCAUUACUGGAAUGUCGAAAGACACUUCUCGUACUACCACUGUGAAUCUACCUAUAUGUCGUGCUUCGGCAGGCGGUCAUCCCUUCAGAUGACUCUACGGCCUGAACAAGGUGCCUGCCGGAGUGCCAAAUAUUAAACUAUUGAAAUCUUAUACAAAGUGGAUUUUCGGAUACGUCUUGAAACAAAUAUAACAACUUUCAACAAUGGAUCUCUUGGCUCUGGCAUCGAUGAAGAACGCAGC